rnacentral:rRNA from 1 species
UACGGAGAGGGCAAGCGUUGUUCGGAUUUACUGGGCUUAAAGGGCACGUAGGCGGGAACACAAGUCGGUUGUGAAAGCCCGGAGCUCAACUCCGGAAGAGCUUCCGAUACUGUGUACCUUGAGAACGAGAGGGGAGAGUGGAACUUCUGGUGGAGCGGUGAAAUGCGUAGAUAUCAGAAGGAACACCGGUGGCGAAAGCGACUCUCUGGCUCGUCUCUGACGCUAAGGUGCGAAAGCUAGGGGAGCAAACGGG